UACAGAGGGUGCGAGCGUUAAUCGGAAUUACUGGGCGUAAAGCGUGCGUAGACGGUUAUGUAAGUUAGGUGUGAAAGCCCCGGGGCUCCAACCUGGGAAUUGCAUUUAAGACUGCAUAGCUAGGGUGCGGAAGAGGGAAGCGGAAUUUCCGGUGUAGCGGUGAAAUGCGUAGAUAUCAGGAAGAACACCAAUGGCGAAAGCAGCUCUCUGG
rnacentral:rRNA from 1 species